GGAGACGUCUGCGUCAAAGUCCCGAGGUGCGUCCUUCAGCGGCCAAACUUGUCCAGCAGAUUGGGAGACGCUCAAAAACUCCCCGCAAUAAUAUUAAUAACACGAUUAAAAAAAUAAUGGACGGGAGAGGUGAUGCAAAAUGCUGCUGACUGGGAGGCUCACACAUGCCCGACGGCCUGUUUGGAGAAUGACCAGUUGAUUGGAAACACACCAAAAUGUGCCUCUAAACCCCGAAUAAUCCCAGGACACGAUUUUUUUCUUAACCCUUAAUGAAUUUACAAACAUCAGUCUGUACAGUUAGACCGCACUGUGUACUUAGCAGCACCAACAACUAAAGCCCGGAAGUUGCAGAAGGCCAGACAGAUUUUCUACAAGUUUCAGGUAACAAAACGAAAACAGGAAAUAAAAUCGAGCGACAAGAGAACGAAAAAA